rnacentral:misc_RNA from 1 species
GUCGCCAUGAACGAGAAGGCCAACGUCUCUAAAGAGCUUAAUGCUAAGCACAGAAAGAUCUUGGAAGGUCUCCUUAAAUUGCCUGAGAAUAGAGAAUGUGCUGACUGCAAAGCCAAAGGUCCAAGAUGGGCAAGUGUAAAUUUAGGUAUCUUUAUAUGCAUGCAAUGUUCAGGGAUACACCGAAGUCUGGGGGUGCACAUAUCGAAGGUUCGAUCUGCAGCCCUUGACACAUGGCUUCCAGAGCAGGUUGCAUUUAUUCAAUCAAUGGGAAAUGAGAAGGCAAAUAGUCACUGGGAAGCGGAGCUGCCCCCCAACUAUGAUAGAGUUGGAAUAGAGAAUUUCAUUCGUGCAAAGUAUGA